AAGAAAGUUUUAAAAAUAAAAUUUAAAACUAUAUAUAUUAAGUCCUAUAUAUCAGAUUUGUAACCCUCUCAUCUAUAUCUUACAUUCAUGUGUUAAGUUUAUAAAGAAGAGAACAAGGAUGGAGUCAUGCACCGAUGACAGUUGAAGCUGCCAGCAUGAUCUGAGCUUUCUUUCUUUUAGUUAUAUCACCUCUAUGAACUUAAAUAUAACCUAAGUCUAGAGAGAGUAUAUGUGGUAAGAACUAAGAACAGAUCAUGUCGGAGCUUCACCUGUUGAAUGGAAGCAUUUCAAGUUGAGUUUCAUCCAGGAUGCCAGAAAAAAACAGAAAAGGUAACUUGCUGUUUAUGAGCCUUGUACAAAGAAAGGAAACAAAACACCAGAAAAACAAAGGAAACGAGGCAGUUUGGACUCAUGGCGGCCACCAUGGCAUUCACCAUGAUGGUAGCCACGAGGGCCCACCACCUCUAGGUCAAAAGACAUAAUAUUUCCCAUUUUGACUCCAUGGCACUCGACAUGGAUCUGUGGCGGUCACCCCGUGCCAAAGUUCGCUUCAGUCAAAGAUGGGCCUUACUUGGCCACCAAGUACCCAACUUCCUCCAAAAAUCUUACCCACAAAUCCAGCGGAACGUAACCAGCUUUUAAGGUUUUUAGUUUAUUAUAAAUAGGGGGUUUAGUUCACUAUUUUAAGGCAUCCAAGCUUUUGUACAAUAAGCCAUAUAGUUCACCAUUAGAAAAGCCUUAAUCCUUCACAUCAUGGCGAUUAUAGCGAUUGAUUUUUGUACUGGAGCUAGGAGCACCUUUUAUUUCCAACAAUUUAUUUCAUAACGCGUUUUAUUGAAGCCAGCUUAUUUCUUCCA